GUGGAUAUGGCGGAAUGGUAUACGCGCAUGUUUGAGGGGCAUGUGAGAAUAUUUCUCUUAUGAGUUCGAGUCUCAUUAUCCACACCA
rnacentral:tRNA from 1 species